GAUGAACGCUAGCGAUAGGCUUAACGCAUGCAAGUCGAGGGGCAUCACAUGAGUAGCAAUACGAUGGUGGCGACCGGCGCACGGGUGAGUAACACGUAUGCAACCUGCCCGUAACUGGGGAAUAACCCGUCGAAAGGCGGACUAAUACCGCAUAAUAAUGGUUUACUGCAUGGUGAAUCAUUUAAAGAUUUAUCGGUUACGGAUGGGCAUGCGUUCCAUUAGGUAGUUGGUAGGGUAACGGCUUACCAAGCCUACGAUGGAUAGGGGUUCUGAGAGGAAGGUCCCCCACACUGGUACUGGGACACGGACCAGACUCCUACGGGAGGCAGCAGUGAGGAAUAUUGGUCAAUGGGCGAGAGCCUGAACCAGCCAAAUCGCGUGAAGGAUGAAGGUAUUAUGUAUUGUAAACUUCUUUUGUCAGGGAAUAAAGUGCGGCACGUGUGCUGUUUUGUAUGUACCUGAAGAAUAAGGAUCGGCUAACUCCGUGCCAGCAGCCGCCGUAAUAC
rnacentral:rRNA from 1 species